rnacentral:ncRNA from 2 species
GCCUAAAUGCCUGGCGACGGUCUCCUCUCCGCAAAGGGAGGAGCUAAGAGGGAACGCGGUGCGAGCUUCUGCUCAACUCCGCGGCUGUCCCCGCAACUGUAAGCGGCGAGCCUGCAACCCCCACUGCCACUGGAAAAUUUCCGGGAAGGCGGUUGCAGGCGACGACCCGCAAGCCAGGAGACCUGCCGUCGACCGAUCAAUCCU